rnacentral:rRNA from 1 species
UGAGGAAUAUUGCGCAAUGGGGGCAACCCUGACGCAGCAACGCCGCGUGAGUGAGGAAGGUUUUCGGACCGUAAAGCUCUGUCGAGCGGGAAGAAAUGCAUGGUGGCUAAUAUCCAUCAUGCUUGACGGUACCGCUAAAGGAAGCACCGGCUAACUCCGUGCCAGCAGCCGCGGUAAUACGGGGGGUGCAAGCGUUGUUCGGAAUUAUUGGGCGGAAAGAGCGUGUAGGCGGCUGAAUAAGUCAGAUGUGAAAUCCCUGGGCUUAACCCAGGACGUGCAUUUGAAACUAUUCAGCUGAGUAGGGGAGAGGAAAGUGUAAGUCCUGGUGUAGAGGGGAAAUUCGUAGAGAUCAGGAGGAACACCGGUGGCGAAGGCGACUUUCUGGCCCUAUACUGACGCUGAGACGCGAGAGCGUGGGUAGCAAACA